AAAAUAUAUGAAAGGAUUUAAAUUUGUCGCCAAAACCGCGCUCUUUUUUACCAAAAAAUGGCGGCUUGACUAUAAAGAUAACAGCUGAUCCAUAAAUCAGCAAGACGAUAUCAACAAUAAUUAUCAACAAAGGUCUCAAACAUGGAUGAGUAAAAAAGUAAAAUGGUUUCAAUUAAUUCAGUUUUAUAAUAGUCCAUGAAGUAACCAAAAAUAUUGGAUGAAGUAAAAAAUAAAACUAAGGAAUAAACAACAGAUGCAGUUGCUGGUCAAGCCAGUUGGAUCAUUAAUCAACAGAUCAAUUACAUCAGCAACAUAACAGAAUCUAUUGAUAAUUAUUAUAAUAUCAAAAAAUGAUAUUAAUGGAACAACUGAAAAUGAUUUCAACUACAUAUAGGUACACAUGAUUAUAACCCAGGUCAAGACUAAUUUUCAGUGUCAAAGGUGAUACACAUGCCCAUGAAAGCCAAAAAGUGAUGAUGAAGCAAUUGAUAAGAUGGCAUUUUUAAAAUUAGAAUUGAUGACUUGCCAACACAAUUAAAAG